AGUACGGCGAGUGAGCGGUAAAAGCUCAAAUUUGAAAUCUAGCGUCUUUGGCGUUCGAGUUGUAAUUUGAAGAUGGUAAUCUUGGAUAUAGUCUUCGGCUAUGUUCCUUGGAACAGGACGUCACAGAGGGUGAGAAUCCCGUGUGCUGAGGUGCCUAUAUCCAUGUAAGAUGCUAUCGAAGAGUCGAGUUGUUUGGGAAUGCAGCUCUAAGUGGGUGGUAAAUUCCAUCUAAAGCUAAAUAUUGGCGAGAGACCGAUAGCGAACAAGUACAGUGAUGGAAAGAUGAAAAGAACUUUGAAAAGAGAGUGAAAAAGUACGUGAAAUUGUUGAAAGGGAAGGGCAUGAGGUCAGACUUGGUAUUAAGCGAUCAUUUCCUCUCGGGGUUGUGCUCUCGCUUUUUACUGGGCCAGCAUCAGUUUGGACGGUAAGAUAAUGACAUUGGAAUGUGGCUUUCUUCGGGAAGUGUUAUAGCCCUUGUUGAUGUUACCAGUCUGGACUGAGGACCGCGCAUUAUUGCUAGGAUGCUGGAGUAAUGGCCUUAUGCCGCCCGUCUUGA
rnacentral:rRNA from 1 species